rnacentral:rRNA from 1 species
UACGUAGGGCGCAAGCGUUAUCCGGAUUCACUGGGUUUAAAGGGUGCGUAGGUGGGUUGGUAAGUCAGUGGUGAAAUCCCCGAGCUUAACUUGGGAACUGCCAUUGAUACUAUUAAUCUUGAAUAUUGUGGAGGUCAGCGGAAUAUGUCAUGUAGCGGUGAAAUGCUUAGAGAUGACAUAGAACACCAAUUGCGCAGGCAGCUGGCUACGCAUAUAUUGACACUGAGGCACGAAAGCGUGGGGAUCAAACAGG